UUUGGCCAGAUGAUGAGCGAUUGCAUAGUUCACAUGAUCUUUCCUAUGAUUAAGAAAAAUACGUCUUUCGCUCCUAACUGAUGGCUUUA